CUAUGGAUACCUCCAGUCCUUCCUGUGACAGCCACUGGCAGAGGCUUCGAGCCAUCAAGCCUUACAGAGCUGCCAGCCGGGAGGUGGGAGUGGGAAGGGGAGACACUGAGAUGCCUUAGUCAGAAGUUGUGACCUUGUUUCUAACACUGAUCUUUGGACCCAAGGGGAGGGGAAGGAUUAAUAGUUAAUCCCAGCAGGAGCCCAGCAGAGAGGAACACUCAAAACACGUACACUUGUGUCACUUCCUACUAAAAAAAGAAGGAAAUUAUUACUAAGAUAUGAGCUCAUCUCAUGGCCCCUGAACCGUGUGAUUUUACCUGGACUAACUCAUUCUGAGCUUAUGAUAACCUUGUGAUAUGAGGAUUUUUGCCCCCAUUUUUAGAGAAGGAAACUGUGGCUUAACAUUUUAGGUCACUUGCCUGAAAUUAUGCAGCUGGUAAAUGACAGAGGGAGGUUUGCAUCUGCUUCUUCUGUAUGUGACUUCUUCCUUAGGUGCUGAAAAACUGUUGAGCCUCCUUUCUGCCUACAGACUCACCCAAACAGGUGUCAGGAAGCGCAGAUGUUCAGGGGCCCUGGCACUCAGCCCUGAGAAUCACGUGCCAACCCCAUUAGAAUAUUACCACAUGCAUCAAUCACACACCUUGUGGUGAAAGGGAGCUGAAUGCACUGAUACAGAAAGACAUUUCUGACUCCUCCCUGACCUUCAGCCUGCUGGGGGAGAGACUGGAAGGCCAGCCAUGCUAGUGACAAGCUUCUGAGAGGCGAAUUUCCCCUCCCCAUGACAUACCCAGCCACCAUUCCUGUUGGGCGGGGCGGGUAGAGGUGUUGCACCCUGGGAGCUGGGUAUCUGGAUGAUGGUGGAGGUGUUAGGGAUGUGGCCAUCCCUGCGACGUGCAGCAGAGUGCCCGAAUCUGAGAAGCUCUGCCCUCCAGAUCAGAUAACCUGUCGCGCUCCCAGAGGCCCCCUCCUCCUGAAAGGACUUUAGUCUUUGGAGCUGUCACCUGAGCUGAGCGGGAUGAGAGCUCUACCGGGCUGGCCAAGCAGUGAAGGAAGGAGGAAACCCAGGCCAGGGCUGCCUGCUGCCGGGGGUCCCACCAUGGAGCCAGGCACGGCCCGUCCUCGUCUGCAGAGGACAGAAGGGCUGGGAGGGGAGCAGGAGCGGCGACCCUGUGGAGACAGAGAUGGGGAGUGGCGACCCUGUGGAGACAGAGAUGGAAACACUGAGAAGCACAAAGCCCCGGACUUGGUGCAAUGGACCCGACACGUGGAGGCUGUGAAGGCACAAUUGCUGGAGCAAGUGCAGGGACAGCUGAAGGAGCUGCUGGAUCAGGCCAUGUGGGAGGCCAUUCAAUCCUACCCAUCACAACACAAACCUCUGUUCCCUGCUCCCCCAGAUUCCUUGAGCAGGACCCAGGAGCCAUCCCUGGGAAAACAGAAAGUUUUCAUCAUCCGCAAGUCUCUGCUUGAUGAGCUGAUGGAGAUGCAGCAUUUCCGCACCAUCUACCACAUGUUCAUCGCUGGCCUGUGUGUCUUCAUCAUCAGCACCCUGGCCAUCGACCUCAUUGAUGAGGGCAGGCUGCUGCUGGAGUUUGACCUACUGAUCUUCAGCUUCGGACAGCUGCCGGUGGCGCUGGUGACCUGGGUGCCCAUGUUUCUGUCCACCCUGCUGGUGCCGUACCAGGCCCUGCGGCUGUGGGCCAGGCCGGGGGCUGAGGGCACCUGGGUGCUGAGGGCGGGCCUGGGCUGCGCGCUGCUGGCUGUCCACGCCGUGGUCCUCUGCGCGCUGCCGGUCCACGUGGCUGUGGAGCAUCAGCUCCCGCCCGCCUCCCGCUGUGUCCUGGUCUUUGAGCAGGUUAGGUUCCUGAUGAAAAGCUACUCCUUCCUGAGAGAGGCUUUGCCUGGGACCCUUCGUUCCAGAGGAGGUGAGGGGAUCCAGGCCCCCAGUUUCUCCAGCUACCUCUACUUCCUCUUCUGCCCAACUCUCAUCUACAGGGAGACUUACCCCAGGACGCCCUAUGUCAGGUGGAAUUAUGUGGCCAAGAACUUUGCCCAGACCCUGGGCUGUGUGCUCUAUGCCUGCUUCAUCCUGGGCCGCCUCUGUGUUCCUGUCUUUGCCAACAUGAGCCGAGAGCCCUUCAGCACCCGUGCCCUGGUGCUCUCUAUCCUGCAUGCCACGUUGCCAGGCAUCUUCAUGCUGCUGCUCAUCUUCUUUGCUUUCCUCCAUUGCUGGCUCAACGCCUUUGCCGAGAUGCUACGAUUUGGAGACAGGAUGUUCUACCGGGACUGGUGGAACUCAACAUCCUUCUCCAACUACUACCGCACUUGGAACGUGGUGGUCCACGACUGGCUGUACAGCUACGUGUAUCAGGAUGCGCUGCGGCACACCACACUCCCCCUGGCUUCCUUAAGGUGGGGCCUCUCUGUAGAGAAGCUCAGGGAGACUCACCCCUCACUCCUUCCCUCACUCUGCCAGCUCCUUGGUGGCCGGGCCCGACGGGUAGCCAUGCUGGGUGUGUUCCUGGUCUCCGCAGUGGCCCAUGAGUAUAUCUUCUGCUUCGUCCUGGGGUUCUUCUACCCCGUCAUGCUGAUACUAUUCCUUGUCGUUGGAGGAGGGAAGCCAGAAAGACAAGGCCCAGAUAUCUGGAGCUGGAGUGAAAACCUUUCCUCCUGUACCAGGAAUGUUGAACUUCAUGAUGCAUGACAAGUGCACCGGCCCUGCGUGGAACGUGCUGGUAUGGACCUUGCUGUUUCUGGGCCAAGGAAUCCAGGUCAGCCUGUACUGCCAGGAGUGGUAUGCACGGCGGCACUGCCCCUUAACCCAGACAACCUUCUGGGGGCUGGUGACACCUCGAUCUUGGUCCUGCCGUAUCUAGAGAUCAGGGCACCCUUACUGCCCAGAUGACACCACCAAGUUCUCUGCCUGCAAAGCCUGGGACCAGGAUUCCUCUCUGAAUUCCCAAACUUGUCUCUGAGUCAAGGCGACCUGCACACAAGACCCCACCAGGGAAUUGCAAGGGCUGAGAUCUGCAGAUAUGUAGGUAGCUGAGCACAGACCUCAGCAGAGGGGUAACAGGGGCGACUCUUCAGGCCCUAUCCCCAUGGACUGGGUACAGCAGACCCUCCCACCCCAUGACUCUCUUGAGGAGACUUGGGGGACUGUAAGGAUUUGAUGAAUGUGAAAGAACUCAGAGAAAUUGGGGCCACCAAGGUUUGAAAAGGGUUUGGUUCUUGAUUUUGUAUUUCUUCCAAUACAGCAAUAAACUUCGCCUCCCUUUUUAUCCAUU